rnacentral:rRNA from 1 species
UACAGAGGGUGCGAGCGUUAAUCGGAAUUACUGGGCGUAAAGCGCACGUAGGCGGCUUGGUAUGUCGGGUGUGAAAUCCCCGGGCUCAACCUGGGAACUGCAUCCGAAACUGCCUUGCUAGAGUAUGGGAGAGGGAAGUGGAAUUUCCGGUGUAGCAGUGAAAUGCGUAGAUAUCGGAAGGAACACCAGUGGCGAAGGCGACUUCCUGGACCAAUACUGACGCUCAGGUGCGAAAGCGUGGGGAGCAAACAGG